ACAAGAUAUUUACAGUGUUUUGUUUGUUUAAAAUAAGAAAAUUGUAGUCGGUUAAAUUUUUGGCUCGUUCCGUAAAUCGCGCCUCCAUAGAUCGUAUGUGACGUCACAUCAAGAACACAAGAAAAGGUGGUGCGAAGAUGUGUUGUUGGUGGGUGCAGUAACACCAACAGUAAUUCCUGUCUGCAUGAGUUUCCAUCAGACCUAGCAGUAAGGAAAAAGUGGGACAGGUUUGUGUCAUCCACUCAGAAAGACUGGAAGCAUGUUGUUGAUACCACUGUCAUUUGUGGUGACCACUUUAUAGCCCCAUCAGAUUUUGAGGGAUACCAACAGUGGCGGAGUGGUUUAAAAAAAAGUUAUCACUCAGACCCGGGGCUGUGCCAACCAUCCGUUCCCCCUCACUGCCAAAGCCUGAACACCACCGACGUGCUGUCCAGAAGCUAAAUAUAUCAAGGUUGGUUGAUGGCAAUUUAUCAGCUGGACAUACUGAACAUGCUGAAACUGUCUGUGAAAGGUUGUCACAAGCAGGUGCUUCCACAGCUCAUUUACAGGUUCUUAAUACAUGCCACAUCAAGUUGUGUGUUCA